GCAUUCCUGUCGUUCCGGCGAGUGAAGCGGGAAUAGCUCAAAUUUGAAAUCUUCAAGGUUUGACCUUGACGAAUUCGUAGUUUAUAGAAGUGUUUUCUGUUGGAGUUUUGGUAAAAGUUCUUUGGAAUAGGACAUCAUAGAGGGUGAGAAUCCCGUAUUUGACCAUGACUUUCCAGCUGUGUGAUACACUUUCAAAGAGUCGGAUUGUUUGGGAAUGCAGUCCAAAAUGGGUGGUAAAUUUCAUCUAAAGCUAAAUAUUGGCGAGAGACCGAUAGCGAACAAGUACCGUGAGGGAAAGAUGAAAAGAACUUUGAAAAGAGAGUUAAACAGUACGUGAAAUUGUCAAAAGGGAAGCGUUUGACACCAGUGUUGUUUUCUCGAAAAUCAAUUUAAUGAGUUCUUGUUUUUAAGUUAUUGUGACUUUAUCAGCGCAUUUCUUAUUUUACUUGACUCAUUGAAUGCACUUUUCGUUUAACAAGUCAACAUCAAUUUCUUUGGUGGUAAAAAGUUUAAAGGAAGGUGGCUUGGACUUCGGUUCAAGUGUUUAUAGCCUUUUUUCUAUGCCAUCGGAGAGAUUGAGGUCUGCAGCGUAGAUCCUUCGGGGUUAGAUACCUUUGUGCUAAGUUAUAGUUUUUUAUAGACAACUUGUUGACUAUAAUUAACCCUGUAAUUUACUCGCUUAAGCUAUUUUACCUACGCUUAGGAUGUUGACAAAAUGGUUUUAAACGACCCGUCU
rnacentral:rRNA from 1 species